CACAUGAAUAAAAAAUGAGGAAGUGUGUGCUUGCACGUUUUCAACAGCACAUUUUCAGGUGGUUUCCAACAGCCUCUGUCUCUAACCAGCUGUUUUCUCUGUUCCCUUCUCAUGGCUUCUGCAGCAAACAUGUUAUUCAGAAGAUUAACAUUUUGAUGAGGGAAAAUGGAAAGUCCCCAAACCACUUUUUUCCUGCAGCCUGCAUGACUGGCUGGGGAACAUAAGAUGUGCCUACUCGACAGCUUAGUGGAAAGGGGUAGAGCCAGCCAAUUUAUUUUCCUCUGACAGCUGAAAACCUCUAGUUUCUCUCCCUUUCCUGCCUUCCUUUCCUCUACUUCUGAUUGCAGGGGUCACUGCAGACUAGUUCCACCUGGUUGCAAGCAGCUGUGCUGUUAAUUACUUUAUUGGCCAUCGAAGACCCCAGCAGGUAAUAUUUUUGCUUGAUUUCCCAUCUCUUCUUUAUGUUCCUCCUUAUCUCUGCAGUGGGAACAACUUUCCCAAUGCAAGAGGUGGAUGCUUAAAAUAAUAAUGUAUUUAAUUGCAAAGGAAUGUUUGAAGGGAAACAAAGUGCACUGUUCUCAGACAUGCUUUGGUACUUCCAUUUAAUUACAGCCUGCAGGAAGGCAUUGCUUCAUCUACUGCCACUACAAAGCACCAUAGUCACAGGGUGGGAUUACUCUGUCCCCUGGAAAUGUCUGUUUUGUGUUGUCUUCCAUCUCCUUUUAUAGAGCCACAUUUUAUAGGGUUAUACUGUUAUAAAGUCAAAUAUUAUAGGCUUGUUAUAUGGAGAGGUUCAUGAAUUAUAGAAGAUGUAUGAUAUAAAAGCAGAUAUAAACCAAGAUUAUUACUUUGAGGCAUUCAUUCAUUUGAAUGGUUCUCAUAAAGCACGGUAAUGUCAGAGAUUGCACUAAACACACCUUCAUUGUGUGGGUAAUCCAAGCACCACCUUAAUUUUCUCCCCAGUUCUACUAUUUAGGUAGAAAAAUCUUGUACCAAUGAACAAAUACAUCCUCUCCAGUAAAGCAGGGGGUGGCUACCCUUGGCCUCCUGGUGGAAGAUAUCCAGAAACCAGUUAGGAGGCAAUAAGGACUUAAUUCUCCAGUAUUGUUCCUGUGGAUCCCCUGCAUUUAUCAGUUACAAGGAACAUAGGGAAAUGCUCCAAGCUAAAAUCAUGACAACACUAACAAUAGUCCCAGCACAUACCUUCCAGAUGAUUUUAUGGGAACCAGCACUUCAUGAAUAACCUACAGACAGAAAAUGAGAUCUCUUUCAAGAAAAGCAGAAUGCUGCCUCUAUUUUCCAAUUUCUCUGUUCUUUGGGGGCAAUGAACUGACACUGCAAUCAGUCAAUACCAAACAAAAGUAAGGUAUUGCUGCCAUGAUCCAGGAGGAGUCUUUCUGAGAAGUACUCCUUGUAACCAUUCCACCUAGAAGCGAGGGAGACAAAGCUACCACUGACUGCAGGAGUGAUCCUUAUGGAUGUGUCAUGGUUCUGUCGGGUCCAGACAUCUUUUGUGGGAUCUCAUUUAAGCUGUUUACAGCAUAGACACUUAUGUCUGGGCUCUUUAUCUAACUACCCUGAGAGGUCAAGGGAGACAAAAAGGCACUGACUAAUUCACUUAAACUCAAGGAGACACUUAAG